rnacentral:tRNA from 1 species
GCGAGGGUGGCGGAAUUGGUAGACGCACCAGUUUUAGGUACUGGCGGGCAUCACCCGUAGGGGUUCGAGUCCCCUCCCUCGCA